rnacentral:tRNA from 2 species
GACCCGUUAGCUCAGUUGGUUAGAGCGUCGUGCUAAUAACGCGAAGGUCGCGGGUUCGAUCCCCUCACGGGCCA